GACGAACGCUGGCGGCGUGCCUAAUACAUGCAAGUAGAACGCACAGUUUAUACCGUAGCUUGCUACACCAUAAACUGUGAGUUGCGAACGGGUGAGUAACGCGUAGGUAACCUGCCUGGUAGCGGGGGAUAACUAUUGGAAACGAUAGCUAAUACCGCAUAAUAUUGAUUAUUGCAUGAUAAUUGAAUGAAAGAUGCUAUUGCAUCACUACCAGAUGGACCUGCGUUGUAUUAGCUAGUAGGUGAGGUAACGGCUCACCUAGGCGACGAUACAUAGCCGACCUGAGAGGGUGAUCGGCCACACUGGGACUGAGACACGGCCCAGACUCCUACGGGAGGCAGCAGUAGGGAAUCUUCGGCAAUGGACGAAAGUCUGACCGAGCAACGCCGCGUGAGUGAAGAAGGUUGUCGGAUCGUAAAGCUCUGUUGUAAGAGAAGAACGGGUGUGAGAGUGGAAAGUUCACACUGUGACGGUAUCUUACCAGAAAGGGACGGCUAACUACGUG
rnacentral:rRNA from 1 species